rnacentral:rRNA from 1 species
AACGAACGCUGGCGGCAGGCCUAACACAUGCAAGUCGAGCGGACCCUUCGGGGUUAGCGGCGGACGGGUGAGUAACGCGUGGGAAUAUGCCCUUCUCUACGGAAUAGUCCUGGGAAACUGGGGGUAAUACCGUAUACGCCCUUUGGGGGAAAGAUUUAUCGGGGAAGGAUUAGCCCGCGUUGGAUUAGGUAGUUGGUGGGGUAAUGGCCUACCAAGCCAACGAUCCAUAGCUGGUUUGAGAGGAUGAUCAGCCACACUGGGACUGAGACACGGCCCAGACUCCUACGGGAGGCAGCAGUGGGGAAUCUUAGACAAUGGGGGCAACCCUGAUCGAGCCAUGCCGCGUGAGUGAUGAAGGCCUUAGGGUUGUAAAGCUCUUUCAGCUGGGAAGAUAAUGACGGUACCAGCAGAAGAAGCCCCGGCUAACUCCGUG